GAUGAACGCUGGCGGCGUGCCUAAUACAUGCAAGUCGAGCGAACGGACGAGAAGCUUGCUUCUCUGAUGUUAGCGGCGGACGGGUGAGUAACACGUGGAUAACCUACCUAUAAGACUGGGAUAACUUCGGGAAACCGGAGCUAAUACCGGAUAAUAUUUUGAACCGCAUGGUUCAAAAGUGAAAGACGGUCUUGCUGUCACUUAUAGAUGGAUCCGCGCUGCAUUAACUAGUUGGUAAGGUAACGGCUUACCAAGGCAACGAUGCAUAGCCGACCUGAGAGGGUGAUCGGCCACACUGGAACUGAGACACGGUCCAGACUCCUACGGGAGGCAGCAGUAGGGAAUCUUCCGCAAUGGGCGAAAGCCUGACGGAGCAACGCCGCGUGAGUGAUGGAGGUCUUCGGAUCGUAAAACUCUGUUAUUAGGGAAGAACAUAUGUGUAAGUAACUGUGCACAUCUUGACGGUACCUAAUCAGAAAGCCACGGCUAACUACGUG
rnacentral:rRNA from 1 species